GAUGAAGAACGCAGCGAAAUGCGAUAAGUAAUGCGAAUUGCAGAAUUCAGUGAGUCAUCGAAUCUUUGAACGCACAUUGCGCCCUGUGGUAUUCCGCAGGGCAUGCCUGUUCGAGCGUCAUUUCAACCCUCAAGCUCUGCUUGGUGUUGGGCCCUGCCCGCUGCGGCCGGCCCUAAAGACAGUGGCGGUGCCGCCUGGCCCUGAGCGUAGUACAUCUCUCGCUCCAGUGCCCGGUGGUAGCCUGCCAGAACCCCAACACUCGUGGUUGACCUCGGAUCAGGUAGGGAUACCCGCUGAACUUAAGCAUAUCAAUAAGCGGAGGA
rnacentral:misc_RNA from 1 species